rnacentral:rRNA from 1 species
GACGAACGCUGGCGGCGUGCCUAAUACAUGCAAGUAGGACGCAGUUGCGAACGGGUGAGUAACGCGUAGGUAACUACCUAUUAGAGGGGGAUCACUAUUGGAAACGAUAGCUAAUACCGCAUACUAGUCACUGGACCUGCGUUGUAUUAGCUAGUAGGUAGGGUAAUGGCCUACCGAGGCAACGAUACAUAGCCGACCUGGGAGGGUGAGCGGCCAUACUGGGACUGGGACACGGCCCAGACGCCUACGGGAGGCAGCAGUAGGGAAUCUGCGACAAUGGGGGGAACCCUGACCGAGCAACGCCGAGUGAGUGAAGAAGGUUUUCGGAUGGUAAAGCUCUGUUGUUAAGGAAGCGGUACUUAACCAGAAAGGGACGGCUAACUACGUGCCAGCAGCCGCGGUAAUAC